rnacentral:rRNA from 1 species
AGUGAACGCUGGCGGUAGGCCUAACACAUGCAAGUCGAACGGCAGCACAGUAAGAGCUUGCUCUUACGGGUGGCGAGUGGCGGACGGGUGAGGAAUACAUCGGAAUCUGCUUUUUCGUGGGGGAUAACGUAGGGAAACUUACGCUAAUACCGCAUACGACCUACGGGUGAAAGCAGGGGGUCUUCGGACCUUGCGCGAUUGAAUGAGCCGAUGUCGGAUUAGCUAGUUGGCGGGGUAAGGGCCCACCAAGGCGACGAUCCGUAGCUGGUCUGAGAGGAUGAUCAGCCACACUGGAACUGAGACACGGUCCAGACUCCUACGGGAGGCAGCAGUGGGGAAUAUUGGACAAUGGGCGCAAGCCUGAUCCAGCCAUACCGCGUGGGUGAAGAAGGCCUUCGGGUUGUAAAGCCCUUUUGUUGGGAAAGAAAAGCAGCAGGUUAAUACCCCGCUGUUCUGACGGUACCCAAAGAAUAAGCACCGGCUAACUUCGUG